AACGCUAGCGGCAGGCUUAUACAUGCAAGUCGAACGGAAACAGGCGGUAGCAAUACUGCGCUGUCGAGUGGCGCACGGGUGCGUAACACGUAUGCAACCUACCCUUAACUGGGGAAUAACCCUGUGAAAGCGGGGCUAAUACCCCAUAACAUUAUGGUAAGGCAUCUUACUAUUAUCAAAGAUUAAUCGGUUAGGGAUGGGCAUGCGCCCCAUUAGUUAGUUGGUUAGGUAACGGCUAACCAAGACUGUGAUGGGUAGGGGUUCUGAGAGGAUUAUCCCCCACACUGGUACUGAGACACGGACCAGACUCCUACGGGAGGCAGCAGUAAGGAAUAUUGGGCAAUGGACGCAAGUCUGACCCAGCCAUGCCGCGUGCAGGAUGACGGCCUUAUGGGUUGUAAACUGCUUUUGUAUGGGAUUAAAGUGUUGUACGUGUACGACAUUGCAAGUACCAUACGAAUAAGCAUCGGCUAACUCCGUGCCAGCAGCCGCGGUAAUACGGAGGAUGCAAGCGUUAUCCGGAAUCAUUGGGUUUAAAGGGUGCGUAGGUUGAUUAUUAAGUCAGUGGUGAAAAUUCCGGGCUCAACCCGGGACUUGCCGUUGAAACUGAUAAUCUUGAGUGUAACUGAUGUGGGCGGAAUGUGUCAAGUAGCGGUGAAAUGCAUAGAUAUGACACAGAACACCGAUAGCGAAGGCAGCUCACAAAAUUACAACUGACACUGAGGCACGAAAGCGUGGGUAUCAAACAGGAUUAGAUACCCUGGUAGUCCACGCUGUAAACGAUGAUCACUAGCUGUUUGCGAUACAUUGUAAGUGGUUAAGCGAAAGCGAUAAGUGAUCCACCUGGGGAGUAC
rnacentral:rRNA from 1 species